rnacentral:piRNA from 1 species
UGAGAAAUGAAGGGUUUGUGAGCUCCGGG